UACAUGUGGGGCAAGCGUUGUUCGGAAUCACUGGGCAUAAAGGGUGCGUAGGCGGCUUGUUAAGUCAGGGGUGAAAUCCCACGGCCCAACCGUGGAACUGCCUUUGAUACUGAUGAGCUUGAGUGCGUGAGGGGUAACCGGAACGAGUAGUGUAGCGGUGAAAUGCGUAGAUAUUACUCGGAAGGCCAAAGGCGAAGGCAGGUUACUGGUACGCAACUGACGCUGAGGCACGAAAGCGUGGGGAGCAAACAGGAUUAGAUACCCUGGUAGUCCACGCCGUAAACGAUGAGCACUAGGUCGGUGGCACGCUACGUGUUGCCGGCCGCAGAAAAUUUGUUAAGUGCUCCGCCUGGGGAGUAUGGUCGCAAGGCUG
rnacentral:rRNA from 1 species